AUCGGCUAACUCCGUGCCAGCAGCCGCGGUAAUACGGAGGAUGCGAGCGUUAUCCGGGAUUUAUUGGGUUUAAAGGGUGCGUAGGCGGAUAGAUAAGUCAGUGGUGAAAUUCUGCAGCUUAACUGUAGACUUGCCGUUGAUACUGUCAGUCUUGAGUAUGGUCAAGGCAGGCGGAAUGUGUAAUGUAGCGGUGAAAUGCUUAGAUAUUACACAGAACACCGAUUGCGAAGGCAGCUUGCUGGGCCAUUACUGACGCUGAUGCACGAAAGCGUGGGGAUCGAACAGGAUUAGAUACCCUGGUAGUCCACGCCGUAAACGAUGAUCACUCGCUGUUGGCGAUACACAGUCAGCGGCUAAGCAAAAGCAUUAAGUGAUCCACCUGGGGAGUACGGCCGCAAGGCUGAAACUCAAAGGAAUUGACGGGGGCCCGCACAAGCGGAGGAACAUGUGGUUUAAUUCGAUGAUACGCGAGGAACCUUACCUGGGCUUAAAUGUAGAGUGCAUUGGUGAGAAAUCAUCAUUUUCUUCGGAACUCUCUGCAAGGUGCUGCAUGGUUGUCGCCAGCUCGUGCCGUGAGGUGUCGGGUUAAGUCCCAUAACGAGCGCAACCCUUAUCGUUAGUUGCCAGCGGGUAAUGCCGGGGACUCUAGCGAAACUGCCGGUGUAAACCGAGAGGAAGGUGGGGAUGACGUCAAAUCAGCACGGCCCUUAUGUCCAGGGCUACACACGUGUUACAAUGGCCGGUACAGAGGGCAGCUACCUGGAGACAGGAUGCGAAUCUCGAAAGCCGGUCUCAGUUCGGAUCGGAGUCUGCAACUCGACUCCGUGAAGCUGGAUUCGCUUGUAAUCGCGCAUCAGCCAUGGCGCGGUGAAUACGUUCCCGGGCCUUGCACACACCGCCCGU
rnacentral:rRNA from 1 species